rnacentral:lncRNA from 1 species
AGCCGGCGGCUGGGGAGUGAGCAGCAGACGUGCGAGGCUGCGUUCACGCGGGCGGGGGCCUGGGGCUCUUCGCGGCUCAGCGGCGUCCCCGCCCCGCGCAGGCAUCUUGUCGCCCAUGAAAAAGACGGAGAUGGACAAGUCGCCAUUCAACAGCCCCUCGCCCCAGGACUCGCCGCGCCUGUGCAGCUUCACGCAGCACCACUAGCCCGUGAUCGCCGUGCACAGCCGCAUCAUCCGGAGUCCGAACCCGUCCUCCGCCCUGCACUUCCCCACCACGUCCAUCCUGCAGCAGAUGGCGUCCACCUACUUCCCGCACACGGCCAUCCGCUACCCGCCGCAUCUCAACCCUCAGGACCCGCUCAAAGAUCUCAUGUCGCUGGCCUGCGACCCGGCCAGCCGGCAGCCUGGAUCGGUGAGUGCGGGGUGGCCGACGGGCGGCGGAGGGGGCGUAGCGCCGCGGGCAGGGGUCGGGGCGGCGGAGGGGCGCGGUGCCUAGGGCAGGGGUCCGCGGACAGGGUUCCGCGGGCAGCCACAGAUUCCACCUCCUUGGCUCCUGCCAGGCCCCCGCAGCGAUGCGCGUCCUGCCCUUGGGGUUUCGCGUUUGGGAGCUUCGCAUUUGGGAGUGGCGGGCGAGGUGGCACCCUGUGAACAGACAGGGAGGCGGGGUGCAGGGGUCCCAGCCCCCUGGACCUCCAGCCAGUCUCGGGCCUGCCCAACCCCCAUAGCCCUGCCGGCGUCUUGGUCCCUCCGAGGCCGCCCCCCACCCCUGCUCAGCUGGGGCACGCAGUGCUCCUCCCUUCCCCACAGGCUCUGGCCCUAGUCCAGCAGAAGGGGCAGCGCGCGUGUCCACUCCUCCCUCCUCCUCCCCCAGCACGUACUGGGCCCUUCCCCGUCUCCCCCCAACCUGCUAGGGGGAGCCGCCUCCCAGGAAGCCGGUGGGAAUUGGGGCUCCCCUGCAGGACCCGCGGUUUGCCCUCCAGAGAGCCCAGGGCCACGUGGUCAGGGCCAGAGGGGCCAAGGCGGGGGCAGCACCGGGGGCGCAGGGGUCUCAGGCCCCUGUGGGCAGCGGGAACUAGGAUCCGGACUUCACAGCGCUGGGGGCUCAGGGGGACGGAGCCCUGGGCCGGCCUGCGCCAUUCUGGGUGUUUUUAGGAUACAUUUAUAAUUUAUCUGAAAGGCAGAGUGGGGGGUGGAAAGAGAGGCGAGAGAGAGAGAGAGAGAGAGAGAGAGAGAGAGGUAGAGGUGUUUCG